rnacentral:rRNA from 1 species
GGGUUGUGAGGUUAAGCGACUAAGCGUACACGGUGGAUGCCCUGGCAGUCAGAGGCGAUGAAGGACGUGCUAAUCUGCGAUAAGCGUCGGUAAGGUGAUAUGAACCGUUAUAACCGGCGAUUUCCGAAUGGGGAAACCCAGUGUGAUUCGUCACACUAUCAUUAACUGAAUCCAUAGGUUAAUGAGGCGAACCGGGGGAACUGAAACAUCUAAGUACCCCGAGGAAAAGAAAUCAACCGAGAUUCCCCCAGUAGCGGCGAGCGAACGGGGAGCAGCCCAGAGCCUGAAUCAGUGUGUGUGUUAGUGGAAGCGUCUGGAAAGGCGCGCGAUACAGGGUGACAGCCCCGUACACAAAAAUGCACAUGCUGUGAGCUCGAUGAGUAGGGCGGGACACGUGGUAUCCUGUCUGAAUAUGGGGGGACCAUCCUCCAAGGCUAAAUACUCCUGACUGACCGAUAGUGAACCAGUACCGUGAGGGAAAGGCGAAAAGAACCCCGGCGAGGGGAGUGAAAAAGAACCUGAAACCGUGUACGUACAAGCAGUGGGAGCACAGAGCAAUCUGUGUGACUGCGUACCUUUUGUAUAAUGGGUCAGCGACUUAUAUUCUGUAGCAAGGUUAACCGAAUAGGGGAGCCGAAGGGAAACCGAGUCUUAACUGGGCGUUAAGUUGCAGGGUAUAGACCCGAAACCCGGUGAUCUAGCCAUGGGCAGGUUGAAGGUUGGGUAACACUAACUGGAGGACCGAACCGACUAAUGUUGAAAAAUUAGCGGAUGACUUGUGGCUGGGGGUGAAAGGCCAAUCAAACCGGGAGAUAGCUGGUUCUCCCCGAAAGCUAUUUAGGUAGCGCCUCGUGAAUUCAUCUCCGGGGGUAGAGCACUGUUUCGGCAAGGGGGUCAUCCCGACUUACCAACCCGAUGCAAACUGCGAAUACCGGAGAAUGUUAUCACGGGAGACACACGGCGGGUGCUAACGUCCGUCGUGAAGAGGGAAACAACCCAGACCGCCAGCUAAGGUCCCAAAGUCAUGGUUAAGUGGGAAACGAUGUGGGAAGGCCCAGACAGCCAGGAUGUUGGCUUAGAAGCAGCCAUCAUUUAAAGAAAGCGUAAUAGCUCACUGGUCGAGUCGGCCUGCGCGGAAGAUGUAACGGGGCUAAACCAUGCACCGAAGCUGCGGCAGCGACGCUUAUGCGUUGUUGGGUAGGGGAGCGUUCUGUAAGCCUGUGAAGGUGUACUGUGAGGUAUGCUGGAGGUAUCAGAAGUGCGAAUGCUGACAUAAGUAACGAUAAAGCGGGUGAAAAGCCCGCUCGCCGGAAGACCAAGGGUUCCUGUCCAACGUUAAUCGGGGCAGGGUGAGUCGACCCCUAAGGCGAGGCCGAAAGGCGUAGUCGAUGGGAAACAGGUUAAUAUUCCUGUACUUGGUGUUACUGCGAAGGGGGGACGGAGAAGGCUAUGUUGGCCGGGCGACGGUUGUCCCGGUUUAAGCGUGUAGGCUGGUUUUCCAGGCAAAUCCGGAAAAUCAAGGCUGAGGCGUGAUGACGAGGCACUACGGUGCUGAAGCAACAAAUGCCCUGCUUCCAGGAAAAGCCUCUAAGCAUCAGGUAACAUCAAAUCGUACCCCAAACCGACACAGGUGGUCAGGUAGAGAAUACCAAGGCGCUUGAGAGAACUCGGGUGAAGGAACUAGGCAAAAUGGUGCCGUAACUUCGGGAGAAGGCACGCUGAUAUGUAGGUGAAGUCCCUCGCGGAUGGAGCUGAAAUCAGUCGAAGAUACCAGCUGGCUGCAACUGUUUAUUAAAAACACAGCACUGUGCAAACACGAAAGUGGACGUAUACGGUGUGACGCCUGCCCGGUGCCGGAAGGUUAAUUGAUGGGGUUAGCGCAAGCGAAGCUCUUGAUCGAAGCCCCGGUAAACGGCGGCCGUAACUAUAACGGUCCUAAGGUAGCGAAAUUCCUUGUCGGGUAAGUUCCGACCUGCACGAAUGGCGUAAUGAUGGCCAGGCUGUCUCCACCCGAGACUCAGUGAAAUUGAACUCGCUGUGAAGAUGCAGUGUACCCGCGGCAAGACGGAAAGACCCCGUGAACCUUUACUAUAGCUUGACACUGAACAUUGAGCCUUGAUGUGUAGGAUAGGUGGGAGGCUUUGAAGUGUGGACGCCAGUCUGCAUGGAGCCGACCUUGAAAUACCACCCUUUAAUGUUUGAUGUUCUAACGUUGACCCGUGAUCCGGGUUGCGGACAGUGUCUGGUGGGUAGUUUGACUGGGGCGGUCUCCUCCUAAAGAGUAACGGAGGAGCACGAAGGUUGGCUAAUCCUGGUCGGACAUCAGGAGGUUAGUGCAAUGGCAUAAGCCAGCUUGACUGCGAGCGUGACGGCGCGAGCAGGUGCGAAAGCAGGUCAUAGUGAUCCGGUGGUUCUGAAUGGAAGGGCCAUCGCUCAACGGAUAAAAGGUACUCCGGGGAUAACAGGCUGAUACCGCCCAAGAGUUCAUAUCGACGGCGGUGUUUGGCACCUCGAUGUCGGCUCAUCACAUCCUGGGGCUGAAGUAGGUCCCAAGGGUAUGGCUGUUCGCCAUUUAAAGUGGUACGCGAGCUGGGUUUAGAACGUCGUGAGACAGUUCGGUCCCUAUCUGCCGUGGGCGCUGGAGAACUGAGGGGGGCUGCUCCUAGUACGAGAGGACCGGAGUGGACGCAUCACUGGUGUUCGGGUUGUCAUGCCAAUGGCACUGCCCGGUAGCUAAAUGCGGAAGAGAUAAGUGCUGAAAGCAUCUAAGCACGAAACUUGCCCCGAGAUGAGUUCUCCCUGACCCUUUAAGGGUCCUGAAGGAACGUUGAAGACGACGACGUUGAUAGGCCGGGUGUGUAAGCGCAGCGAUGCGUUGAGCUAACCGGUACUAAUGAACCGUGAGGCUUAACCUUACAACGCCGAAGGUGUUU